rnacentral:rRNA from 1 species
UACAGGGGGUGCAACCGUUGCUCGGAAUUAUUGGGCGUAAAGCGCGCGUAGGCGGCUACUUAAGUCGGAUGUGAAAGCCCCUGGCUCAACUGGGGAAGUGCACCCGAAACUGAGUAGCUAGAGUGCAAAAGAGGGUCGCGGAAUUCCCGGUGUAGAGGUGAAAUUCGUAGAUAUCGGGAGGAACACCGGUGGCGAAGGCGGCGACCUGGGUUGACACUGACGCUGAGGCGCGAAAGCGUGGGGAGCAAACAGG